GACGAACGCUGGCGGCGCGCUUAACACAUGCAUGUCGAACGGAAAGGCCUGCUUUCCCUUGUGGAUUGCGGGUACUCGAGUGGCGAACGGGUGAGUAACACGUGAGUGAUCUGCCCCCAACUUGGGUAUAAGCCUGGGAAACUGGGUCUAAUUCCCGAUAGGACUGCAGGGUGGUGCCUGUGGUGGAAAACGAUUUUCUAGUGGUUGGGGAUGAGCUCGCGGCCUAUCAGCUUGUUGGUGGGGUAAUGGCCUACCAAGGCGGCGACGGGUAGCCGGCCUGAGAGGGUGGACGGCCACAUUGGGACUGAGAUACGGCCCAGACUCCUACGGGAGGCAGCAGUGGGGAAUAUUGCACAAUGGGCGGAAGCCUGAUGCAGCGACGCCGCGUGGGGGAUGACGGCCUUCGGGUUGUAAACUCCUUUCGACCGCGAGGAAGCCACCUGGUUGGAAGGGUGGUGACGGUAGUGGUAGAAGAAGCACCGGCUAACUACGUG
rnacentral:rRNA from 1 species